AGCAGGGGAGGCCGCCGCUCGCCGCCGCACCGCGCCCGGCCCCGCAGGUGGGCGAGCCGCAGCGGGGUCCUCCGGGUCCCAAGAUGGCCGCCGCUGCCUGGCCCCCUCCUGCAGUUUGCUGCGCUGCGUGAGUACCUGGCAAGCUCCUACUGUGGUGCCUUGGGGUCGGGGAGGGGAUCUCAGCAAGAGGAUUUCUGCCCAUCUUUAACUGGACACGAGAUGACUUUGUUCUUUGGGUGACUACUGCUAGACAGACGCAUCCUGUUGUGAUAAAGGAGACCAGCUGGAUUUAGGACUGCGGCGUCGUGUUUGUGGGCUCACAGCACCAGCCGGCAUGGGAGAGUGCAGUGCUUCCUCUGCCACUUAUUCAGCUGCUGAGGAAAUUGGACACGAGUGAAAAUGGAUGAGGAUGGAGCACAGAGGACGCAGGGCCCUGCCAGGUGCCG